AUAAGGUAAUUUCUCUUAUGGCAGUCCAAAACCUCAUCCAACUUAUACUACAGCUUCCACACCUUAUCCAUUAGAAAUGUCUUGUGACUUAAUAAUUCCUCCCUCUUAUCUGCACUCUUCUUCUUCUUCCUCCUUUCUCUGUAAGCAACGGCUACAGCUUUUUAAUGCGUUUCCUUUCAAGCUCAGAGUACCCGUUUCGACAAGGCCUCUGAUUGUUCAAGCCGAGUCCAGAACCAGAGAGGAGGACCGGAUUGCGACCCAGUCUCGUAUCCCCAACAAGAAUCAAGAUGCUGAACGGAAGGGUCAGGAUCUUCAAACACUUGCCCGGAGGUUCUGGAAAGUUGCUGCUCCCUAUUGGUCCUCAGACGAUAAAGUUCAAGCUAGGUUGCAGCUGGCUGCAGUCUUUGCCCUUACUUUAGGGACUACUGGUAUCAGUGUCGGUUUCAAUUUCCUUGGUCGUGAUUUCUAUAAUGCCCUUGCCAACAAAGAUCAAGAACAGUUCACCAAGCAACUAUUGUACUACCUUGCUAGUUUCGCUGGUGGUAUUCCGGUUUUUGUGUUGAGAGACUAUGCACGUGAAACACUAGCAUUAAGAUGGAGAUCUUGGAUGACAAGCUAUUACAUGGAGCGCUAUUUGAGGAAUCAGACUUUUUACAAAAUACAAUCACAAUCAAUAAUUGACAACCCUGAUCAGCGAAUUGUUGAUGAUUUGAGUUCCUUUACAGGAACAGCUCUUGCAUUUUCUUUGACACUUUUCAAUGCUGCAGUAGACUUGAUAUCUUUUAGCAAUAUCUUGUAUGGCAUCUAUCCACCGCUUUUUCUCGUGCUUCUUGCAUAUUCUAUUGGUGGAACAGCUAUUAGUGUAUUUCUUGGAAGGGGAUUAGUGACCCUCAACUUCAUGCAAGAGAAAAAAGAAGCAGAUUUCCGCUAUGGGCUAGUGCGCAUUAGGGAGAAUGCUGAAUCAAUUGCAUUUUAUGGUGGUGAGGAAAAUGAGAUGCAACUAUUGCUACAACGUUUCAAAAGUGCUUAUGAAAACCUCACGAAAUUAUUGAUAUCUUCCAGGAAUUUGGAGUUUUUCACAAAUGGUUACCGCUAUCUGAUUCAAAUUCUUCCUGCUGCAGUUGUCGCACCGAUGUAUUUCUCUGGGAAAAUUGAAUUUGGGGUCAUAAAUCAAUCUGUGUCUGCAUUUAACCAUAUUCUUGGGGAUUUCUCCUUGAUUGUUUAUCAAUUUCAGGCUAUUAGUGCAUUUUCAGCCGUCAUUGACCGACUAGGUGAAUUUGAUGACAUUUUGGAUAGCAGCACCAGAAAAAAUAAUGAGUCCACAGAAGAGAUAAAAUUGAAGUAUUGCUAUCUAAGCAGUUCAACUGACCUGCAUUCAAAUGGAUCCAUUUCAUCCAGAAAAUGUGUGAAGGUAUUGCGUAUUGAGCACUUGACCCUACAGACACCAAUGAGUAAAGAACCUCUUAUAAAUGGCUUGUCAUUGGAGGUUUUUGAAAAGGAUCAUUUGCUGGUUACAGGACCAAGUGGGAGUGGCAAAACUUCAUUAUUGAGAGCUAUAGCUGGUCUUUGGAACACUGGAAAGGGAACUAUAACAUUCUAUGCCAAACAUAAAAGGGAGUUACCUCUUUCUUCAGAUAUUGUUUCUUGUGAAGUCAUUUCAACAGAUGAGAUAAAUGUGGACAGUACUGUGCAUAGAGAGAAGAAUCGUGGAGGUGUAUUUUUCCUUCCACAAAGGCCAUAUAUGGUUUUGGGAACACUUCGUCAACAGUUGUUAUAUCCAACUUGGACUGAAGAUUCGGAUUUUAUGGCGAAUCUCACUGAACAAAGUCAACAAACUGAUUCUCCAUCAUUCUUGGCGCGUUCUCCUAAAGCACAGUAUGCGGAUGUAGAUUCUAAAAAGCCCACAACGGAUGAUCUAAUCCAAGUUCUAAAGGAUGUUCGGCUUGGGUAUUUAUUAUCUCGUUUUGAUGGUCUAGAUUCUAUGCAUGAAUGGUCAAGUGUUCUUUCCCUAGGAGAGCAACAACGUCUUGCAUUUGCAAGACUAUUAUUGUCAAAGUCCUACUUGGUUCUACUGGAUGAAUCUACGAGUGCUUUAGAUGAAGCCAAUGAGGAGCAUUUGUAUCAGCUAAUUCAAGCUGCAGGGAUCACAUAUAUAAGCAUUGGUCACCGUUCAACCCUCUAUAAAUACCAUAAGAAGGUGUUGCAAAUAUCGUCGACUGCUGAUCCAACGAGUACAAACCCAAAUUGGUGCAUUGAUUUCAUUCCAUAGGACAACACUCCUUGUUAUAAUAUAGCUAAGCUGAAGAAAUCUUGUAAAUAGGAGCAAUUUUACAAGUGAUUUACAAUAUAAUUUGUACAGGGUUCGGCUCAGCAUCUAUCCGGAAAGUAUUACGAGUUUAUGGGUACUAUGAUGCUCAGUAAUUUUCUUUAAUUUUAUUUUGCAUGUGUAGUGUAAUUUAUUGUACCUGUAAGGACUGUCAUCCCAAGUUCAAACUAUCGUAGCAAAUGAGAUAUUUUUAGUUUUGAAAGCA